rnacentral:rRNA from 1 species
AGCCUGAACGCUGGCGGCGUGGCUAAGACAUGCAAGUCGCACGGAGGCCGCAAGGCUUUAGUGGCGAACGGGUGAGUAAUGUAUCGCUAACGUACCCUUUAGUCUGGGAUAGCCAGGGGAAACCCUGGGUAAUACCAGUUGAUAUUCUCUUUCCGCAUGGGAGGAGACUCAAAGGAGCAAUCCGCUGAAGGAGCGGGCGAUAUCGUAUCAGCUAGUUGGUGAGGUAACGGCUCACCAAGGCUAUGACGCGUAGCCGGACUGAGAGGUCGGACGGCCACAUUGGGGACUGAGACACUGCCCAGACUCCUACGGGGGGCUGCAGUAACGAAUCUUCCGCAAUGCACGCAAGUGUGACGGAGCGACGCCGCGUGUGGGACGAAGUCCUUCGGGAUGUAAACCACUGUCAGGGGUUACCAAGUUCUGAGGAGCCCCAGAGGAAGGCACGGCUAACUCUGCGCCAGCAGCCGCGGUAA